rnacentral:pre_miRNA from 1 species
AGAGUACUCCCUCCGUCCGAAAAUACUUGUCAUCAAAAUGGAUAAAAAGGGAUGUAUCUAGAACUAAAAUACGUCUAGAUACAUCUCCUUUUAUUCAUUUUGAUGACAAGUAUUUCCGGACAGAGGGAGUAGAAA